UGUGCAGCAAAAUAUCCAAACAAAUAGGAAACUGCACUGUUUAAAUAUUUUGGUAAUAAGAAAAACCUAACAAGUCAAAAAACAUUUAAUUUUAAACUUUUAUAACAUAAACAUUAACAUAAAUCAACCAUACAAAAUAGAGAUAUAUAAUAAAUUCAACAAUGGGAACAUGCUACCAUUACAAGGAGAUGUAUGUAAACUGUAACAACAAGGUCAUAAUCACAUUAGAAGGGGGAAAUGUAACACAAGAUUUAUAUCAACUGUUACAUUGGUCAUAUACCAUCAUUGUAAAAGGGUGGCUACACAAGAUUUAUUCAAACUGUAACAACAAGGUCAUAAUCAUAUUACAAGGGGGAGAUGUUACAUACGAUGUUAACUUUAACAUUGGGAACAUGCUACCAUUACAAGGUAAUGUUACAUAUGAUGUAUGUCAACUAUAACGAGGUCAUAAUAUCAUUAGAAGGGGGGGAAUGUAACACAAGAUUUAUAUCAACAGUUACAUAGGUCUUAUACCAAUUCAAUGUAUAUUCGUAAAAGGGGGCUGCUACAUAAGAAUUUUGAAACUUUAUCAACAAGGUCAUAUACAAUAUAAGGGUGGGGGGAUAUAACAUGAGAUAUAUAUCAACUGAAACAUUAGGUAUAUACAUUGUGUACUUUAAUACAGUCUACCAUUAUAAAGGAGGGAGAGAUUUAUUCAAAUUACAGCAUUGGGCAUAUACAUAUUUUAUUUAAUUCUACCAUUAUAGGGGGGUAAUAAAAUUGAUAUAAACUUCUAAUGAGGGCAUAGUAAUUUUAUAAGGGGGAAGGUGUAACAUUGGACAUGUACUACCUUUGUAAAAAGAAUGUUACAUGUGAUUAUUGUCAAUUAUAAUAAUGAGGAUAUGAUACCAUUAGAUGUAACAUAAAUUAUGUUAUGGUUGAUAUCAGUAGUAAUGUUAUAAUAUCUCCAAUGUUAGAGAUAUCUUAUUUCAAGUUCGAGAUGAAUCAUUCAGACGUACAUUACCUGUUACAAUUUGACAUGAAGACAUUGCAAGGGGUGUAAAUAUCUUAUAUACAGGUAUAUAAACAGCAUACAUUUAUAUACAUUUAUAUGAAGCACUAAUAAGUAACAAUUAAAACAGGUCUUUCUACUAGUCAUUACAAUAACACAGUACAUUUACCAAUAUAAUUCACUGCCUGUUCAACAUGAACAAUUUUAAGUAAAGUAUGCUUAUUGUAUACUAGGUAUUAUUCAAAAAUUCUGAAGAAAAAAAAAAUUAACAAGCAUUAUAAGAGUAUUGCAUGACAAUACAUAGUUACAAACUGGUUAAAAAUUCAUCAUACUGGAACAAAAUGCUAACAUUAUCCAAAAAUGCUAACAUUAUCCAUAGUUGUCAUGGUAUUUAACUAUAUAACAAAUAUUAAGACAAUAUCUUCAAGCAUGACGAAAAAGUGUGGAAAACUGAUUUGCCAGGCUGACAGAUGGACAGACAGACGGACAGAGUGCAAACCUUAAGUUCCCUUCGACUUAGUCAGUAGGGAAAUAAAGAAAAGAUUUACAAAUUAAAGAUAAUGGUAUAAUUCUUGGCUUUCACAUUUGUUUCAAAUCUAUUAAUGGUAUGUAUACAGUUUAUUCAUAUUUUUAUUGUUCAAUACCAAAAACAAGUUCUCAUUAAAAAAAGUCUUAUAAUUUACUUAGAAGUUAUAUUGGUCUAUGAGUAAGAUGUGUGAGCUUUAGAAGUUAUAUUGAUCUAUGAGUAAGAUGUGUGAGCUUUAUCUGAGAUGUAUUUUUAAUGGAUAUGGAAUUAAGUUUUGUUCUUUGUAAUAUGAAGUGGUAAAAUGAUUGUGUAUUAAUAAACAAAGUUAUAAAUAUACACAUAUAUUUGUGUUUUUUCCCUUCAGAUUCUUUUUACAAAUAUAAAAAAGAAUCUGAAGCAAAAAAAAAAA
rnacentral:lncRNA from 1 species